AGAGUUUGAUCCUGGCUCAGGACGAACGCUGGCGGCGCGCCUAACACAUGCAAGUCGAACGGAGCUUAGAGAGCUUGCUUUUUAAGCUUAGUGGCGAACGGGUGAGUAACGCGUGAGUAACCUGCCCUGGAGUGGGGGACAACAGUUGGAAACGACUGCUAAUACCGCAUAAGCCCACGGCCCGGCAUCGGGCUGAGGGAAAAGGAUUUAUUCGCUUCAGGAUGGACUCGCGUCCAAUUAGCUAGUUGGUGAGGUAACGGCCCACCAAGGCGACGAUUGGUAGCCGGACUGAGAGGUUGAACGGCCACAUUGGGACUGAGACACGGCCCAGACUCCUACGGGAGGCAGCAGUGGGGGAUAUUGCACAAUGGGGGAAACCCUGAUGCAGCGACGCCGCGUGGAGGAAGAAGGUUUUCGGAUUGUAAACUCCUGUCGUUAGGGACGAUAAUGACGGUACCUAACAAGAAAGCACCGGCUAACUACGUGCCAGCAGCCGCGGUAAAACGUAGGGUGCAAGCGUUGUCCGGAAUUACUGGGUGUAAAGGGAGCGCAGGCGGACCGGCAAGUUGGAAGUGAAAACUAUGGGCUCAACCCAUAAAUUGCUUUCAAAACUGCUGGCCUUGAGUAGUGCAGAGGUAGGUGGAAUUCCCGGUGUAGCGGUGGAAUGCGUAGAUAUCGGGAGGAACACCAGUGGCGAAGGCGACCUACUGGGCACCAACUGACGCUGAGGCUCGAAAGCAUGGGUAGCAAACAGGAUUAGAUACCCUGGUAGUCCAUGCCGUAAACGAUGAUUACUAGGUGUUGGAGGAUUGACCCCUUCAGUGCCGCAGUUAACACAAUAAGUAAUCCACCUGGGGAGUACGACCGCAAGGUUGAAACUCAAAGGAAUUGACGGGGGCCCGCACAAGCAGUGGAGUAUGUGGUUUAAUUCGAAGCAACGCGAAGAACCUUACCAGGUCUUGACAUCCGAUGCAUAGUGCAGAGAUGCAUGAAGUCCUUCGGGACAUCGAGACAGGUGGUGCAUGGUUGUCGUCAGCUCGUGUCGUGAGAUGUUGGGUUAAGU
rnacentral:rRNA from 1 species